AGAAACCCCACGAGCGCUGCCGUCACCCGGGGCAGAAACAGCGCAGGGGUCCCUGAUAUCUCCCGUCCCGGGCCGGGUCUGAGGAGUGCGUUCGAACCCCCCGACCCCACGUUUCCACCCGCUCUCAGCAGGAGGUUCAGAGGAGAGUCUGGAUUCACAGAGAACAAAAGCGGAAUUAGUGGCUCUUUUGUUUUUGUGGUCUCGUGUCUGUCUGGCGUGAGCUCCUUGGGCGAUCGGCAGACAUCGAUUCCUGCUGUUUUUGUUGGAUCUCUAGAGGAUGUGUGUUGCACUUCCUCUGAGUUGCAGGUCAUUGUGUUUGGAGGCAGGUGAGCAGAAGUGUCUCCAUCAGUGUUUGUGGGUGUUUGUUUGUUAUUUGGACAGUGUUGAGGAGGAGUGAGCGUUGCACGAGGCUUCAGUGCCAGUGUUUUUGGUCAUGCAUGAAUGCAUGUAUGCAGGUGGGCGUCAGUUAUGAAGAAAUAAACAAAUGUUCUUAAAAAGGUCACAGAGACUCUGUUAUUGAUUAAUGCUGCUUGUUCACAGAGCGCGGGAUGAUGAGGGUCUCUUGUGUUCUCCAGCUGCUCCAGGAAACGUUCUGCCAUUUCUGCACAUUAUUCUCACACGCUGAUCGUUAUUAUGGACAUGUGGCGGCUCGGUCCGUUCUGUGUGUGGGAGUGCAAGAUGCUCUAUAUGAAGACGCAGGAUGGGCUCAUUAGUCGCCGGAGGUAAACACAAGCACAAAGACACUGGCUGAAGCUAAUGAUCUGUUUGCUCUUCAUCAAUCCCACAUGCACACAAAGCAGCACUCUAAACUGUAUUUACUGCUGUUUGCUAACAAACUACUUACCCUGAGUGCUAAACUUGGCCACUCGUCUAAACUCGUCUGGCAGAAAUGAUUCCUCCGAUCGUGCAGUCAGAUGAACACAAAUCAGCCACAGACUUACAUGUUAAAAACACCUUAGCAACUGUGGAGCAGCAAUGUUAUGACAGCUACUCGCUCAUUCAGAAAAUACAAAAAUUAGAGGAAAAAUAUAAAUAUGAAGGUUAAAAUGAGUUCCCACAGACAAAGAUACAGUAAAUAAAUAAAUAAAUAAAACUUCUAAACAAAUAUAUGAUAUGAAUGGGUUUACAACAGUGUUAUUUUAUAUCAUUGAGAUACUAUUAUGGUUUUUAUUUUUCAUUUUCCUUAUCAUUUUAAUUUUAGUUAAAGUUUAGUAAUUUUGUUGUGUUUUGUCACUUUAUUAGUUUUUUUUUUAAAUAUUUCUACAUUUUAUUUAUAUUUUAUUUUAUUUUUAUUUAUAUGACAAUUUUAGUAUGCUAAACUGAAGUGUAAGCUUUUUAUAUUUAUUUAAUUUCAGUUUAUUUUAUUUUAUUUUUUGUGUGUUUAAAAAAAAAAAUCAGUGAAAUCUAAGGUAAAAACCUGCAAAUGUGGUUGACAGAACUUUAUUGUUUUAAAAAAAAGGUCAAUAGAAAGUCUUGUGAAGCUCAUCUCAAGCAGUGCUUCCACAUUCUGAAGUAAAUACUAGAUAGAAGGUGCACACAGAUACAAAACACCAUCAUGGUUACAGAACAUGACACUAAAAUAGUGCAAUAAAAAUUCAU
ensembl:lncRNA